AGGUGAACCAACUCAGCAGGAAUUACAAGCAAAGCAGUCAGAUCCUGAGUUCCCCCCAGAAGAUAUCACUGUAUACUCAUUAAUUGAAGAGAGACCUACAAGAAAGAAGAUCAUGAAAAAAUUGGAUGUAGAAGAAAUAUACCAUUAUGCAACAGAACCUUGCAUUGAAAUCUAUGAAAAAAAUGUAAUACCAGGGAAGUCAUCUUAGAUGUGUUCAUUUCAUGUUUUAAAACUUUUACUAUGUUUGGAUUUGGUAGAGUCAACAGAUAUGUAUGCAGUCCUCCUAUUGGAGAUUUAUACAAGUAAUCAGUACUGAGGAUGCUCAUACCGCAUUCACAACAAGGAAUAUAUAAUCUUGGUAUGCACUGAUUGUUGUCAUUUGAUAACCGUGACACAUUUUCUUGUUUUCCUGUCCAACUGAUCCAAUACCUUUUGAGGCCAGUUAAUCAACCCAAAACUGUAAG